UCAUUAAUUAAGUCAGUGUUUAGUAACUCAAGAGAAGAUGUAGAAAAAGAAGAAGAGUUAAAAAUUUUAAUUAUUGGUGAGAGUGGUUCUGGAAAAACGAGUUUAUUUAAUUUGAUUUGUAAUUACCACAAUAAGUGUGAAUAUGAAAUACUUAAUAUGGAAAAUUGUAUAAAUGAUGAAAGUAAUAUAACGUCUUGUGCUCUUGGUUUUAACACUAAAAAAAUUAUUUUUAAUAAAAAAAAUUUAAAAAUAUAUAAUAUAGAAGGAUUGUCAACUAAUACGAUAAAUAUAUAUGAUUGUUAUUAUGAUGAUGCAGAUUUGAUAUUUUAUGUUAUGGAUGCAAAGAGUGAAAAACAUAUAUUUAACGUAAUUAUAUAUUUAUCUUGUUUAAAUGAAUAUAUAUCUAAAAAUAGUACUGUUAGCACAGAACUGUAUCAAACAAAAUAUACAAAAAAAAAGUUUAUUAAACCCAUAGUUAUAUUAGCAAAUCAAUUAAAAGAUGGUGUUUCUUUUUUUUCAUCUCCUUGUAUAUCAAAUUACAUGAAAUCAAUUGAUGUUUAUAAAAAUCAAAACUUUUGGGAUUACUUUUUAUCUACUAAUAAUGUUCAUUUAAACUAUUAUUUAAAUUUAUUGUAUGAAACAUUGGUUGAUAAUUUUGUUACACAUAAUUAUGAUCCUAAAGAUUAUUUAGAAGCAGUUAUAAAAGAAAUAGAACAUAUAAACAAUAGUGAAAAUGUAGAAGUAUAUGAAAAAGAUAACCAUGUAAUGGCAAACGGAAACAGGCAGACGAAUGAAGAAAUGCUAAAAAAAUGUAAUUUGAUCAUAAAUAAUAUAAAAAAUAAUAAUAAAAAUCAUAUUACAUUAGAAGAAGUUGAAAAUAAUGAAAUAUUAAUAUAUAUUUUAAAAAAUAUAAUUAACAGAAGAAUAUUAGAUUCUAAAAAAAUACCAACACAAGUUUAUAAUAUCAAUGUAUAUAAAAAUAAAGGCGUGUACCAAGUUCUUGAGACAGUUUUUCAGCAAUAUUAUAAUAAAGACUUGUACAACAAUAUAAACAGUGUGAUGAAUAUGAAUCAUGAUAAAAUGAAUGGAACCACACUUAAAAAUAUGGCGAACCGUGAUGCUAAUAGUACAAAUAUUAAUGAUAACAAAAUAAAUGAACAGCUUAACUAUCCUCAGGAAUGUAAGAAUGGUGUUACUUCAUUAAUAAAAAACAGUUCGUCCAAUUUUUACAAUACAGAUAUUAAAAAAAGUCAAAGUAUAACUGACUUUUCAAAAAACGAAUAUAAUAUUAAUAAUAAUAUGAUCAAACAAUCAUUAUCGGUGCCUUAUAAUACAUUAAAUGAUCAUACGCGUAAAGGGAAAAAUAUGUUGCCUUUACGCGCAAACACGGCUUAUGCUACUACUGCUACUAACAACAUAUUAUAUCAUACACCAACUACUAACGAAUCCACUUUGUAUAACUAUAACGUCGAUUCAGUUAAUAUAAUCAUUGAGCAUGUACAACAUUUAUAUUUUGAAAAAAAUGUAUUUGAAAAUCUCCCUAGUAUGUUUUAUUUUUUAACGCCCUCUAUCAAAAAUAGAAAAAGUUUAAAAAAGGUGCGUACACAAGGACAUAAAAACAAAUUCAAACAAGCUGUGUUAAACGAACAUGUCUUAACAAAUGAUAAACAGGUGAGCAAACAUGUGUAUGAAAAGUCGAGUGAAAAGGUGCAUGAAAAGUCGAGUGAAAAGGUGCAUGAAAAGUCGAGUGAAAAGGUGCAUGAGAAGUCGAGUGAAAAGGUGCAUGAGAAGUCGAGUGAAAAGGUGCAUGAACAGUCGAGUCAAAAAGUACAUGAAAAGUCGAGUGAAAAUAUGCAUGAAAAGUCGAGUGAAAAUAUGCAUGAAAAGACGAAUGGACAGAUAUACAAAGUAAAGAAAAACGUAAGUGACAUGAUUAAUGCCGAACAUGCAGAACCUUCGACAAAUACAGACACCAUGGAACAUAACCAUAGCUCACGUAAAAACACAAAUAACAUUAUGUAUGAGGAAAAAGUAAACUACAAUUAUAAAGAAAAAAACGGUAACGAAAAUAUGACUUUUGUAGAAAAAAAAGAAAAGAAAAAAAAAAAAAAAAAAUCAUAUAAAAAAAAAGCAAAUA
ensembl:lncRNA